GCAAAAACCGAGGCACUGGAAAAAAAAAAUUGAGGCACUGAAUGACCAGUCAACUUAAAGAAGAUCAUAUAGCUGAUUUAAGAGCAAUAUGUCUUCCGCAAGAACCUAUUCCUUUGAGAUGUAAUCAUCGUCAUCCUGGGUGCCUUGCUCCAUGUCGUAAAAACUGUCUCCUCUUCCAAAGGAUGGAAAGCUUCCUUUCCCUUGGGUGAGGCCAAUCAGCAGUUGCAGACAGCUUAUGAUUCUCCCCACUUCAGCUCUUGAAAAGUUUCCAGCCCUUUAUUUUGGGACAGUAGAGUUCAACUCUCUUCCCUAUUACAGUGCUCUUAGUCUUCUUUGACAUUAUUCUCAGCUGAAGACCAGUCACAAAUUCCUGGUACACAGACAGUGCCUGACUAAUAAUGGUUUGACUUAGGAACUUUUGACUUUCUGAUCAUCUGAAAGCCUUCUCAUACACCCACUGUGUUUCACUUUCAGUAUGAUAUUCAAUAAGCUACAUGAGAUAAUCACAUUUUGAAAGCAAGACUUUUCUUGUAUUAUGAAACAGGCUUUGUGUUAGAUGAUUUUGCCCAACUGGAGGCUGAUGUAAGUGUGUAGAGCACCUUUAAGGUAGGCUGAGAUAAGCUAUAACAGUUGAGUGUCAUAAAUGCAUUUUAAUGUGUGGUAUUUUCAACUUGCAAUGUGUGUAUUGAGAUAUAGCCCCAUCCAUCCAAUCAUAACAGGGCUUUGCCUUUAUUACGCAACAUUUCUUCAGACCAGGAAUUUAAAAUCACCCGUCUAAGUGUUCCAUACAAUGUGAGGUAUGAG
rnacentral:lncRNA from 1 species